CUUCUUUGUAUUUAUUGACACAUUCGCCACCACGUUGUUCUGCCACCCUAUUUCACAACAUUGAUGUAAAAAUAGGCUUUGAAAGUAUAUUACAACUGUUAACUGUUUUCACUUGUAUGAAGGAAAUUCCAUUGAUUUAAAAAUAAAUAAAAGUGUGUGUUUUUAUGAUACCCCAGGCUGUAGAACAGCGACAUUAUUCAUGCAUCACUUUGAAGCACAUUUUAAGCCAUGUGAUGACUUGAGUCAGUGCUGCUCUGUUGUCUGCAAUGAUGGAGGAGUGGUGUGAGUUCGUGACCUAUUUCGGUACAUAGAUAUUCCGCACUCUUUGGCAAUCUCAGCAGUUUGGCACUUGAUAUGUGUGCUAGAACACCUCACCCUAAAGAUGUGUUCAAGUUGGAUGCAGGUGACAUUUCUCCUUGCACACUUGAUUGUUGCAGGAGCAGUGGUAUACCAGUACCCAGGGUCACUAACAGUGGCAGAGGGUACCAAUGUGACGUUUCACUGUGACAUCAGUGAAAUGGGAGGGGAAUGCUCUUAUAUCGUAUGGGUGCAAGUGGGACCUAUGAGAAAGCUCACACUCUGGCCUCAAAAAACCUACAGUGUCCACACCAACACGGCCUGCCUCCUGAACAUCAUCAAUGCCAACAGGACAAGUGUGGGCAUCUUCUACUGUGCCCUGCUUAAUGGUGCCAUGCUGAACAUGGGCAAUGGGAGUGUGCUGGAAGUCUCUGACCCUAUCACCUCUGACGCUACUCUGGAGGUCCUGGUGCCUGUGGACUGGCAGGAGGCCCCCUCAUCCCCAGUCCCACUCCUGUGCCUGGUGUCUGGACUGGAUCCCAGUCAGGCCAAGGUGUACUGGGAGGUGGAGGGGAAGGUUCAGUCCUCAGAGCGUUUACCUGAGGUUCAGUCAGAGAAGCCAGCCACUGUCAGAGUCCAGAUCUCUGUACCUGGCCAUACCUGGGCUGAAGGUGAAGAGAUCACCUGUGUUAUGGAGAGCACCAGUGGGGUGAAGAUGAACAAGACAGUCAGCAGGAUGGGAAUGGAGAGGUCCAGACAGGGAAUGUUUCUGGCCAUCUCUUUGGGCGGCAUGUGUAUCCUUCUUUCUAUUGUGGUGAUUGUCAUCACAUUGUAUGUCUGCAGACUGAGACACGACCCUCGAAAGAAAAGAUUUCAAGCCUAUGAGCACAACCAGGACGGAGCACAGGUAAAAUAACUUUUUUAAAUAAAUGUUUGUGUAUUAUACUAUUCUUAGUAUUAUUUUUUGUGAGAUUUUACUAUUACUACCUUUUCUACUAUUACAAUUUGUAAUGAUGAUGAUGAUGGUGUUUUCUUGUCAUUCAGGGUCUGACUGAAGUGCAAUAUGCCAGUUUAAAGUUUGGAGCUGGUCGUGGGAGACCCUUACCUACAGCCGCAGCUAAAAACAGACAAUAUAAGUAGGCUAAAGCUGCCCUAGUAAGACCUUACAUGUGAAUUACAUUUUCUACAAAAACAUAAAAGAAGUGCUUAUUCAUUCAGGGUCAUCGGUUUGUCAAAAUGCUCCUGUGCUUUCUUGCUUAUGUUUUCUGACCUACUUAUUUGAGUCAAUGAUGUAAGGAUUUUUGCCUUUAAAAUUAGGAACUUAUUUAGUCAGAUUGUGUUGUCAUUUUACAAGCUUUGUGAUUAAAAAUAAUUUGUCUUGUUGAAAUAAUAGCCAAAUGUAAAUUACAUUUGAGACAAGUUUAAUUUAUGGAGUGAACUAAUUUCUCUAGUCGUAUGCUGAUGAGAUUUUUGUGAUAAUAGUCAGCAAUAAAAAUGAGUCACAGAUGGAAUCUUUUUAAUCUCCAACAUAAAUAGCACAUCCUGUUUGUUUCACAUAAUGCUCAGCAUAUUCAACAGCACAGCUCCAUUUGAUGGUAAGCAUUUUUGUCCAAAUGCUCUGCCUCUUAGUAUUUCAAAAUAUCUCACAAGUUAGGUGCGUUCUAUAACUUAAAUGAUGGAGCAUCUUUCAUCUCUGUGAUGUUGCAACACAAACCCACAGAUUUACAUCAUUUUAGCAGACACUCUUACCCAAACACAGAUGGUGUUUGACCUUAAGCUAUUUGAAAGUGGAAAUAAUUUAUGUAUUAUAUAUUUAUUUAUUUAACCUUUAUUUAACUAGGCAAGUCAGUUAAGAACAAAUCCUUAUUUACGAUUACAG
rnacentral:lncRNA from 13 species